AGUUUUGCCCCCUGCCGACUCGCUGCCCAUUCAGCAGCAGAGGAUCCAAGCCGGAAAAGCUCCAGUUGGUGAUAGAAAAUGGGAGAACAGAAGACAACCACUUUAUAAAACCCUUGUCUGCUUGGAUUUGUGGUGCUGAUGGCUCUGGAUCCUGGUUUGUUCUCCUUGUGGACCAACAUCUGUUAGAAGACACUGGCACAGGAAGUGAAGGGGCAGGAUCACCACUCCUCCCAGUUUCCUUGUUUUUACUUAGAACUGGUAUCUAUGAAGCCCUAGAUGAACAUGAACCAAGCUGCUGAGGACCAGAAGUGAAUGAGACAUCAUGAGAAAGCACUGGGGGCCGAAUGCUGCUGGGCACAGAUGAAGCAAUGUAUGAUAGGACCACUGACUGCACAGACUUCUUCUUCCCAAGAGAAGAGGGAUGAGGAAGAAGUGGCCCCUGAGAUUUGCUGCUGAGGACCAGAAG